rnacentral:rRNA from 1 species
GAUGAACGCUAGCUACAGGCUUAACACAUGCAAGUCGAGGGGAAACGACAUCGAAAGCUUGCUUUUGAUGGGCGUCGACCGGCGCACGGGUGAGUAACGCGUAUCCAACCUGCCCACCACUUGGGGAUAACCUUGCGAAAGUAAGACUAAUACCCAAUGAUAUCUCUAGAAGACAUCUGAAAGAGAUUAAAGAUUUAUCGGUGAUGGAUGGGGAUGCGUCUGAUUAGCUUGUUGGCGGGGUAACGGCCCACCAAGGCAACGAUCAGUAGGGGUUCUGAGCGUAAGGUCCCCCACACUGGAACUGAGACACGUUCCAAACUCCUACGGGAGGCAGCAGUGAGGAAUAUUGGUCAAUGGACGAGAGUCUGAACCAGCCAAGUAGCGUGCAGGAUGACGGCCCUAUGGGUUGUAAACUGCUUUUAUAAGGGAAUAAAGUGAGUCUCGUGAGGCUUUUUGCAUGUACCUUAUGAAUAAGGACCGGCUAAUUCCGUGCCAGCAGCCGCCGUAA